AUUGAACGCUGGCGGCAGGCAUAACACAUUCAAGUCGAGCGAGCGGCGGACGGGUGAGUAAUGUAUGGGGGCUGCCCGAUCGAGGGGGAUCACUACGGGAAACGGUGGCUCAUACCGCAUACUGUCGGAUGACCCAUAUGGGAUUAGCUAGUAGGUAAGGUAAUGGUUUACCUAGGCGACGAUCCCUAGCUUGUCUGAGAGGAUGAUCAGGCAGACGGGGACGGAGACAGGGCCCAUCGGCCGACGGAGGCAGCAGGGGGGAAGAUGGCCCUAUGGGCUCAAGCCUGAUGCAGCCAGGCCGCGGGUGGGAAGAAGGCCCUAGGGUUGUAAAGUAUUUCCAGUCGGGAGGCGAUACCGACAGAUGAGGCACUGGCUAACUCCGCGCCAGCAGCCGCGGUAAUAC
rnacentral:rRNA from 1 species